rnacentral:rRNA from 1 species
AUUGAACGCUGGCGGCGAGCUUAACACAUGCAAGUCGAUCGGUAACGCGGGGGCAACCCUGGCGACGAGAGGCGGACGGGUGAGGAACGCUUGGGAAUCUGCCUAUCAGCGGGGGACAACACGGGGAAACUCGUGCUAAUACCGCAUACGCUCUACGGAGGAAAGCCGGGGACCGCAAGGCCUGGCACUGAUAGAUGAGCCCAAGCCAGAUUAGCUAGUUGGCGGGGUAACGGCCCACCAAGGCGACGAUCCGUAGCUGGUCUGAGAGGACGAUCAGCCACAAUGGGACGGAGACACCGCCCAGACUCGUGCAGGAUGCAGCGGUUGGGGAUCUUGGCCAAUGGGAGCAACCCUGCUCCAGCGACGCCGCGUGGGUGAAGAAGGCCUGCGGGUUGUAAAGCCCUUCCGGUAGGGACGAAAGCUCUCGACCUAACACGUCCGGAGGUUGACUUAACGUACAAAAGAAGCACCGGCUAACUCUGGGCCAGCUGCCGCCGUAAAAC